rnacentral:rRNA from 2 species
UGCUUAAUACAUGCAUGUUGAACGGAAUAUUUUAGUUCGCUAAAAUAUUUAGUAGCAAAUGGGUGAGUAACACGUACCUAACCUACCUUUUGGACUGGGAUAACCAUUGGAAACAGUGGCUAAUACCGGAUAUGAUAAAAAUUUGCAUGAAUUUUUAUUCAAAGGAGCCUUCAAGCUUCACCAAGAAAUGGGGGUGCGCAACAUUAGUUAGUUGGUAGGGUAAAAGCCUACCAAGACGAUGAUGUUUAGCGGGGCCAAGAGGUUGUACCGCCACACUGGGAUUGAGAUACGGCCCAGACUCCUACGGGAGGCAGCAGUAAGGAAUAUUCCACAAUAAGCGAAAGCUUGAUGGAGCGACACAGCGUGCAGGAUGAAGUCUUUCGGGAUGUAAACUGCUGUUGUAAGGGAAGAAAAAACUAGAUAGGAAAUGCUCUAGUCUUGACGGUACCUUAUUAGAAAGCGACGGCAAACUAUGUGCCAGCAGCCGCGGUAAUACAUAGGUCGCAAGCGUUAUCCGGAAUUAUUGGGCGUAAAGCGUCCGUAGGUUUUUUGUUAAGUUUAAAGUUAAAUGCUAAAGCUCAACUUUAGUCCGCUUUAGAUACUGGCAAAAUAGAAUUAUGAAGAGGUUAGCGGAAUUCCUAGUGGAGUGGUGGAAUACGUAGAUAUUAGGAAGAACACCAAUAGGCGAAGGCAGCU